CUGAGUCAGAACCACGGUUGGGCCAGCUCUGGUGGGUAGUCACGAAGUAGCUCAGGCAGGAAGUCCUGAGAGGGAUGGGUGCACAGUACAGGCAGUGGUGGGAGUUGCUGCCGCCCCAAAGCCCUGAGCCUUGAGAAAGGCAGUCUGCUUUCUGGAAAGGAACAUGAGGCUGGAAGCCAAGAGGCUCAGGCUCAUCUCAGCCAAGUGACACCUUUGCUGCCUGACCUGGUCCAGCUGAGCACCUUGCCCACAGUGUGAACUCCAUGGACAUUGAUUUAAACAAAUGAACAGAUUCCAGGGAGUGACAUGUGAAAUGGCUUCUUGCUGACGUCAUCAGCAAAUACAGUAUCUUGGAUGAAGAUACCAAAGAUCAUAUCAUCUUUGCUUUGUGCUUCAGAACCACAUGGGGAAACUUACAUGGCACUACCCAAAUUCUUAAAGCCUUAAGGAACUUUAGAUGGGAGGCUUAAAAUGUGAUAUAGGGGCCAGGCGUUGGUGGCGCACACCUUUAAUCUCAGCACUCAGGAGGCAGAGGCAGGCGGAUCUCUGUGAUUUCGAGACCAGCCUGGUCUACAGCUCAAGUUCCAGGACAACCUCCAAAGCCACAGAGAAACCCUGUCUUGAAAAACCAAAAAAAGUGAUAUAGGACUUUGAAUAAACACAAUUUAUUUGUUAUGACUUGA